UAAGGGUGGAAUUGUUGCAGGGGAACCAGUCAUGCCACUAGAGGGUUGGAACUGAAAGUUCCAAAGUCGGGUGAAGGGGACUGAACCAAUCACCAGUGGUCAACAAUUUAAUAAACCACGCCUAUUUAACAAAGCCUCGGUAAAAACCCAAAAGGAUAGGGUUCAGGGAGCUUCCGGCUUGGUAAACAUGUGGAGAUUUGAGGGAGCGCAGCCGCCAGAGAGGGCAUGGAAGCUCCGAGCCCCUUCCCACAGACCCUGCCUAUGCAUCCUUUUCAUCUGGCUGUUCCUGAGUUUUAAAAUUUCUGGGAGCAGAAUUUUGGGGACAAAAAAAUGUAUAUUUUAGGGUUUUUUGUUGUUAUUACUAAGUACCAAAUUGCAUUCAACUGGAUGUAAUUAAAAUCUAUAAAAAGUUUCAUAAAAAUUUGAAAUUCUA